rnacentral:rRNA from 1 species
UACGUAGGUGGCAAGCGUUAUCCGGAAUUACUGGGCGUAAAGCGCACGCAGGCGGUCUUUUAAGUUUGACGUGAAAGCUCCCGGCUUAACUGGGAGAGGUCGUUGAAGACUGGAAGACUUGAGGCAAUGAGAGGGGUGUAGAAUUCCCGGUGUAGUGGUGGAAUGCGUAGAUAUCGGGGGGAAUACAAGUGGCGAAAGCGGCACCCUAGCGUUAGCCUGACGCUCAUGUGCGAAAGCGUGGGGAGCGAACGGG